AACUAACUCAUUUAGUUGCAGUGCUUGCAAGGCUUAAGUGAUGUGCAUUACCGAGAGGGCCCAGAGAUACCUCUCCGACAAUCGGAGUGACAAAACCUAAUCUCGAAAUACGCCAACCCAACAUGUACCUUUGGAGACACCUGUAGUACUCCUUUAUAAUCACCCAGUUACGUUGUGACGUUUGGUAGUACCCAAAGUGUUCCUCCGGUAAACGGGAGUUGCAUAAUCUCAUAGUUAUAGGAACAUGUAUAAGUCAUGAAGAAAGCAAUAGCAACAUACUAAACGAUCGGGUGCUAAGCUAAUGGAAUGGGUCAUGUCAAUCAGAUCAUUCUCUUAAUGAUGUGAUCCCGUUAAUCAAAUAACAACUCAUUGUUCAUGGUUAGGAAACAUAACCAUCUUUGAUUAACGAGCUAGUCAAGUAGAGGCAUACUAGUGACACUUUGUUUGUCUAUGUAUUCACACAUGUAUUAUGUUUCCGAUUAAUACAAUUCUAGCAUGAAUAAUAAACAUUUAUCAUGAUUAUAAGGAAAUAAAUAAUAACUAUAUUAUUGCCUCUAGAGCAUAUUUCCUUCACUCUCCCACUUGCACUAGAGUCAAUAAUCUAGUUCACAUCGCCAUGUGAUAUAACAGCAAUAGUUCACAUCACCAUGUGAUUAACACCCAUAGUUCACAUCAAUAUGUGAUCAACACCCAAAGGGUUUUACUAGAGUCAGUAAUCUAGUUCACAUCGCUAUGUGAUUAACACCCAAAGAGUACUAAGGUGUGAUCAUGUUUUGCUUGUGAGAUAAUUUUAGUCAACGGGUCUGUCACAUUCAGAUCCGUAAGUAUUUUGCAAAUAUUUAUGUCAACAAUGCUCUGCACGGAGCUACUCUAGCUAAUUGCUCUCACUUUCAAUAUGUAUCUAGAUCGAGACUUAGAGUCAUCCAGAUCUGUGUCAAAACUUGUAUCGACGUAACUUUUUUAUGACGAACCUUUUUGUUCACCUCCAUAAUUGAGAAAUAUUUCCUUAUUCCACCAAGGAUAAUUUUGACCGAUGUCCAGUGAUCUACUCUUAGAUCACUAUUGUACUCCCUUGCUUAACACAGUGUAGGGUAUACAAUAGAUCUGGUACACAGCAUGGCAUACUUUAUAGAACCUAUGGCUGAGGCAUAGGGAAUGACUUUCAUUCUCUUUCUAUCUUCUGCCGUGGUCGGGCUUUGAGUCUUACUCAACUUCACACCUUGUAAUACAGGCAAGAACUCUUUCUUUGACUGCUCCAUUUUGAACUACUUCAAAAUCUUGUCAAGGUAUGUACUUAUUGAAAAAACUUAUCAAGCGUCUUGAUCUAUCUCUAUAGAUCUUGAUGCUCAAUAUGUAAGCAGCUUCACCGAAGUCUUUCUUUGAAAAACUCCUUUCAAACACUCCUUUAUGCUUUACAGAAUAAUUCUACAUUAUUUCCGAUCAACAAUAUGUCAUACACAUAUACUUAUCAGAAAUGUUGUAGUGCUCCCACUCACUUUCUUGUAAAUACAGGCUUCACCGCAAGUCUGUAUAAAACUAUAUGCUUUGAUCAACUUAUCAAAACGUAUAUUCCAACUCCGAGAUGCUUGCACCAGUCCAUAGAUGGAUCGCUGGAGCUUGCAUAUUUUGUUAGCACCUUUAGGAUUGACAAAACCUUCUGGUUGUAUCAUAUACAACUCUUCUUUAAAUCCAUUAAGGAAUGUAGUUUUGUUUAUCCAUUUGCCAGAUUUCAUAAAAUUGCGGCAAUUGCUAAUAUGAUUUGGACAGACUUAAGCAUCGUUGCGAGCGAGAAAAUUUCAUCGUAGUCAACACCUUGAACUUUGUCAAAAACAUUUUUCAACAAGUCUAGCUUUGUAGAUAGUAACACUACUAUCAGCGUCCGUCUUCCUCUUGAAGAUCCAUUUAUUUUCUAUGGCUUGCCGAUCAUCGGGCAAAAUCCAUCAAAGUCCAUACUUUGUUCUCAUACAUGGAUCAUAUCUCAGAUUUCAUGGCCUCAAACCAUUUCGCGGAAUCUGGGCUCAUCAUCGCUUCCUCAUAGUUCGCAAGUUCAUCAUGAUCUAGUAACACGACUUCCAGAACAGGAUUACCGUACCACUCUGGUGCGGAUCUCACUCUGGUUUACCUACGAGAUUCGGUAGUAACUUGAUCUGAAGUUACGUGAUCAUCAUCAUUAGCUUCCUCACUAAUUGGUGUAGUAGUCACAAGAACAGAUUUCUGUGAUGAACUACUUUCCAAUAAGGGAGAAGGUACAGUUACCUUAUCAAGUUUUCUACUUUCCUCCCACUCACUUCUUUCGAGAGAAACUCCUUCUCUAGAAAGUUUCUGAAUUUAGCAACAAAAGUCUUGCCUUCGGGUCUGUGAUAGAAGGUGUAUCCAAUAGUUUCCUUUGGAUAUCCUAUGAAGAUUUACUUCUCCGAUUUGGGUUUGAGCUUAUCAUGUUAAAACUUUUUCACAUAAGCAUCGCAGUCCCAAACUUUAAGAAACGACAGCUUAGGUUUCUUGCCAAACCAUAGUUCAUACGGUGUCGUCUCAACGGAUUUAGGUGGUGCCCUAUUUAACGUGAAUGCAACUGUCUCUAAUGCAUAACCCCAAAAUGAUAGUGGUAGAUCGGUAAGAGACAUCAUAGAUUGCACUAUAUCCAAUAAAGUACGGUUAUGACGUUUGGACACACCAUUAUGCUGUGGUGUUCCAUGUGGCAUGAGUUUGUGAAACUAUUCCACAUUGUUUUAAUUGAAGACCAAACUCGUAACUCAAAUAUUUGUCUCCGCGAUCAGAUCGUAGAAACUUUUAUUUUCUUGUCACGAUGACUUCCCACUUCACUCUGAAAUUCUUUGAACUUUUCAAAUGUUUCAGACUUAUGUUUCAUCAAGUAGAUAUACCCAUAUCUGCUCAAAUCAUCUGUGAAGUUCAGAAAAUAACGAUACUUGCCGUGAGCCUUAACACUCAUCGGACCGCAUACAUCAGUAUGUAUUAUUUCGAAUAAGUCAGUUGCUCGCUCCGGAGAACGGAGUCUUAGUCAUCUUGCCCAUGAGGCAUGGUUCGCAAGCAUCAAGUGAUUCAUAAUCAAGUGAUUCCAAAAUCCCAUCAGCAUGGAGUUUCUUCAUGCGCUUUACACCAAUAUGACCUAAACGGCAGUGCUACAAAUAAGUUGCACUAUCAAUAUUAACUUUGCAUCUUUUGGUUUCAAUAUUAUGAUUAUGUGUAUUACUACGAUCGAGAUCCAACGAACUAUUUUCAUUGGGUGUGUAACCAUAUAAGGUUUUAUUCAUGUAAACAGAACAACAAUUUAUUCUCUUACUUAAAUGAAUAACCGUAUCACAAUAAACAUGAUCAAAUCAUAUUCAUGCUUAACGCAAACACCAAAUAACACUUAAUCAGGUUCAACACUAAUCCCGAAAGUAUAGGGAGUGUGCGAUGAUGAUCAUAUCAAUCUUGGAACCACUUCCAACACACAACGUCACUUUACCCUUAACUAGUCUCUGUUUAUUCUGCAACUCCCGUUACGAGUUACUAAUCUUAGCAACUGAACUAGUAUCAAAUACUGAGGGGUUGCUAUAAACACUAGUAAAGUACACAUCAAUAACAUGUAUAUCAAAUAUACUUAUGUUCACUUUGCCAUCCUUCUUAUCUGCCAAUCACUUGGGGUAGUUCCGCUUCCAGUGACUAGUCCCUUUGCAGUAGAAACACUUAGUCUCAGGCUUAGGACCAGACUUGGGCUUCUUCACUUGAGCAGCAACUUGCUUGCUGUUCUUCUUGAAGUUCCCCUUCUUCCCUCUGCCCUUUUCUUGAAACUAGUGGUCUUGUCUACCAUCAACACUUGAUGUUUUUCUCGAUUUCUACCUUCGUCAAUUUUAGCAUUACGAAGAGCUUGGGAAUCAUUUCCGUUAUCCCUUGCAUAUCAUAGUUCAUCACAAAGUUCUACUAACUUGGUGAUGGUGACUAGAGAAUUUUGUCAAUCACUAUCUUAUCUGGAAGAUUAACUCCCACUUGAUUCAAGCGGUUGUUGUACUCAGACAAUCUGGGCACAUGCUCACUAGUUGAGCAAUUCUCCUCCAUCUUUUAGCUAUAGAACUUGUUGGAGAAUUUCAUAUCUCUCAACUCGGGUAUUUGCUUGAAAUAUUAACUUCAACUCCUGGAACAUCUCAUAUGCUCCAUGACGUUCAAAAUGUCUUUGAAGUCCCGAUUCUAAGCUGUUAAUCAUGGUGCACUAAACUAUCAAGUAGUCAUCAUAUUGAGCUAGCCAAACGUUCAUAACGUCUGCAUCUGCUCCUACAAUAGGCCCGUCACCUAGCGGUGCAUCAAGGACAUAAUUCUUCUGUGCAGCAAUGAGGAUAAACCUCAGAUCACGGAUCCAAUCCGCAUCUUUGCUACUAACAUUUUUCAACACAAUUUUCUCUAGGAACAUAUCAAAAUAAACAUAUGAAAGCAACAACGCGAGCUAUUGAUCCACAACAUAGAUAUGCUAAUACUACCAGGACUAAGUUCAUGAUAAAUUUAAGUUCAGUUAAUCAAAUUAAUUAAAGAACUCCCACUUAGAUAGACAUCCCUCUAAUCCUCUAAGUGAUUACGUGAUCCAAAUCAACUAAACCAUAACAGAUCAUCACGUGAGAUGGAGUAGUUUUCAAUGGUGAACAUCGUUAUGUUAAUCAUAUCUACUAUAUGAUUCACGCUCGACCUUUCGGUCUCCGUGUUCCGAGGCCAUAUCUGCAUAUGCUAGGCUCGUCAAGUUUAACCUGAGUAUUCUGCGUGUGCAAAACUGGCUUGCACCCGUUGUAGAUGGACGUAGAGCUUAUCACACCCGAUCAUCACGUGGUGUCUGGGCACGACGAACUUUGGCAACGGUGCAUACUCAGGGAGAACACUUCCUGAUAAUUUAGUGAGAGAUCAUCUUAUAAUGCUACCGUCAAUCAAAGCAAGAUAAGAUGCAUAAAAAGAUAAACAUCACAUGCAAUCAAUAUAAGUGAUAUGAUAUGGCCAUCAUCAUCUUGUGCUCGUGAUCUCCAUCUCCGAAGCACCGUCAUGAUCACCAUCGUCACCGGCGCGACACCUUGAUCUCCAUCGUAGCAUCGUUGUCGUCUCGCCAAUCUUAUGCUUCCACGACUAUCGCUACCGCUUAGUGAUAAAGUAAAGCAUUACAUCGCGAUUGCAUUGCAUACAAUAAAGCGACAACCAUAUGGCUCCUGCCAAUUGCCUAUAACUCGGUUACAAAACAUGAUCAUCUCAUACAAUAAAAUUCAGCAUCAUGCCUUGACCAUAUCACAUCACAACAUGCCCUGCAAAAACAAGUUAGACGUCCUCUACUUUGUUGUUGCAAGUUUUACGUGGCUGCUACGGGCUUAAGCAAGAACCAAUCUCACCUACGCAUCAAAACCACAACGAUAGUUUGUCAAAUAGACUCUGUUUUAACCUUCGCAAGGACCGGGCGUAGCCAUACUUGGUUCAACUAAAGAUGGAGAGACAGUCGCCCGCAAGCCACCUAUGUGCAAAGCACGUCGGGGAAACCGGUCUCGCGUAAGCGUACACGUAAUGUUGGUCCGGGUCGUCUCGUCCAACAAUGCUGCCGAACCAAAGUAUGACAUGCUGGUAGGCAGUAUGACUUAUAUCGCCCACAACUCACUUGUGUUCUACUCGUGCAUAUAACAUCAACAUAAAUAACCUGGGCUCUGAUACCACUGUUGGGUUUCGUAGUAAUUUCAAAAAAAUUCCUACGCACACGCAAGAUCAUGUGAUGCAUAGCAACGAGAGGGAAGAGUGCUGUCUACGUACCCACGCAGACCGACUGUGGAAGCAUUAACACAACAUAGAGGAAGUAGUCGUACGUCUUCACGAUCCAACCGAUCAAGCACCGAAACUACGACACCUCCGAGUUCGAGCACACGUUCAGCUCGAUGACGAUCCCCGGACUCCGAUCCAGCAAAGUGUCAGGGAAGAGUUCCGUCAGCACGACGGCGUGGUGACGAUCUUGAUGUACUAUAGCAGCAGGGCUUCGCCUAAACUCCGCUACAGUAUUAUCGAGGACUAUGGUGGCUGGGGGCACCGCACACGGCUAAGGAAUAGAUCACAUGGAUCAACUUGUGUGUCUCUAGGGUGCCUCUCCCUCAGUAUAUAAAGGACCAAAGGGGGGAGGCUGGCCGGCCACAUAGGGCGCGCCAGGAGAGUCCUACUCCCUCCGGGAGUAGGAUUCCCCCCCGCCCAAUCCUAGUUGGAAUAGGAUUCGCGGAGGGGGGAAAGAGAGAGGGGGGCCGGCCACCUCUCCUUGUCCUAAUAGGACUAGGGGAGGGAGGGAGGCGCGCAGCCCAUCUUGGGCAGCCCCUUCUCUUUUCCACUAAGGCCCACUAAGGCCCAUAUAGCUCCCGGGGGGGGGGGGGGUUCCGGUAACCUCCUGGUACUCCGGUAAAAUCCCGAUUUCACCCGGAACACUUCCGAUAUCCAAACAUAGGCUUCCAAUAUAUCAAUCUUUAUGUCUCGACCAUUUCGAGACUCCUCGUCAUGUCCGUGAUCACAUCCGGGACUCCGAACAACCUUCGGUACAUCAAAAUGCAUAAACUCAUAAUAUAACUGUCAUCGUAACCUUAAGCGUGCGGACCCUACGGGUUCGAGAACAAUGUAGACAUGACCGAGACACGUCUCCGGUCAAUAACCAAUAGCGGGACCUGGAUGCCCAUAUUGGCUCCUACAUAUUCUACGAAGAUCUUUAUCGGUCAGACCGCAUAACAACAUACGUUGUUCCCUUUGUCAUCGGUAUGUUACUUGCCCGAGAUUCGAUCGUUGGUAUUCCAAUACCUAGUUCAAUCUCGUUACCGGCAAGUCUCUUUACUCGUUCUGUAAUACAUCAUCCCGCAACUAACUCAUUUAGUUGCAGUGCUUGCAAGGCUUAAGUGAUGUGCAUUACCGAGAGGGCCCAGAGAUACCUCUCCGACAAUCGGAGUGACAAAACCUAAUCUCGAAAUACGCCAACCCAACAUGUACCUUUGGAGACACCUGUAGUACUCCUUUAUAAUCACCCAGUUACGUUGUGACGUUUGGUAGUACCCAAAGUGUUCCUCCGGUAAACGGGAGUUGCAUAAUCUCAUAGUUAUAGGAACAUGUAUAAG
rnacentral:lncRNA from 1 species